rnacentral:rRNA from 1 species
GAUGAACGCUGGCGGCGUGCUUAACACAUGCAAGUCGAACGGGGUGCGUCAUGACGGAGGAUUCGUCCAACGGAUUGAGUUACCUAGUGGCGGACGGGUGAGUAACGCGUGAGGAACCUGCCUUGGAGAGGGGGAAUAACACUCCGAAAGGAGUGCUAAUACCGCAUGAUGCAGUUGGGUCGCAUGGCUCUGACUGCCAAAGAUUUAUCGCUCUGAGAUGGCCUCGCGUCUGAUUAGCUAGUAGGCGGGGUAACGGCCCACCUAGGCGACGAUCAGUAGCCGGACUGGAGAGGUUGACCGGCCACAUUGGGACUGAGACACGGCCCAGACUCCUACGGGAGGCAGCAGUGGGGAAUAUUGGGCAAUGGGCGCAAGCCUGACCCAGCAACGCCGCGUGAAGGAAGAAGGCUUUCGGGUGUAAACUUCUUUUGUCGGGGACGAAACGAAAUGACGGUACCCGACGAAUAAGCCACGGCUAACUACGUGCCAGCAGCCGC